UGUCCUACCCGCCUGAAUUUAAGCAUAUAAGUGAGUGGAGGAUGAGAAACUAAACAGGAUUCCUUUAGUAAUGGCGAAUGAAGAAGGAUUAGCUCAACAUGAAAAUUGGGGCUUCUGGCCUUGAAUUGUAGUUUGAAGAUGCAUUUGCCAAUGGACAUGAUAAUGAAAGCCUUUUGGGAAAAAGCAUCAACGAGGGUGAGAAUCCUUCUUGACAUUUCAAUUGUCCAUGUACGGUGUGCAUUGAAGAUUCACGUUCCUUGGGAUUUGAACGCAAACUUGUUGGUAAAUUUCAUUUAAAGCUAAAUAUUGGUUUGAGACCGAUAGAAAACAAGUACCAUGAGGGAAAAGUGAAAAGGACUUUGAAAAGAAAGUUAAAAGUGCUUGAAAUUGCUGAAGAGGAAGCGGGUGUAUUUCAAACACAAUUUUCAAGAUUGUUGUGCAUAUCUUUGAUUUCUUGUUGUCUUGACUUCAUCGCAGCAGCAAGACCUAUUAGUGAAUGUACAAUGUUGCUUGUGUUUUGUGCCUUCAUCGAUUUACAGCUAUAGAAACAACCUAAACAUGACUAUUUGCUCUUGUGCAAAUGAACGUUUGGGUGCAGAUUUAGCUUGUGAAUCGCCUUGCUUCUUGUUGUGUUGAUACCUCGGUGUCCACAACAUGAAAAUGAUGGCCAAAGAAAUACAUUCGGCCCGUC
rnacentral:rRNA from 1 species